rnacentral:lncRNA from 1 species
AAGUAAUGACUUUAGUGUGUUCCAUUGUGAAUGCAAAAUAUAUUGCCAUAUAGAAGCUUACAACAAUGUUGUUUAGAUGGGAAAGUUCAUUUAUGAACUCUCUAUUCGGUUCCAACCAGAAAGUGUCUCUAGUGUACUGACACUACGACACUAAUGGGGCGAUAGCUCAAGCCAGGGAAUCAAGGUCUCAUCACGAUCCGAACUCAAAUGAGAGACUGAACCACAUGAUUGAGAAUCAUGUAUAAUGGUGACGUCGUUAUUCUUAAGGUUGCUUCUAUGGAUAACAUAUAGAUAUCCAUUGUCUAGGCCUACUACUCAGCCAUUUUUGAAAUGACUACAGAAGAGGUAUCAUCAGUGAUGACCAAGCUGAUUGGCUCUAGUGCAAGUGGGAGAUUGUUGGAAAUGUGCCCUAAAACCAAUCAUGUGAUGAUACUUUACGGACAUUUCACAUGUUAAACUAAUCUAGUUUAAUAUCAAGGGCAAGAUUAUUGUUUUAAGCCGUCUCAUAUAAAUGUUAUAUGCUUAAACGAUAAGUCCAAGGAAUAUGUAAUUAGGAGAAUGUAAUUUAAACAAGUUAGAUUUAUGAGACCAUUCUCUUUCGUAUACAUAUCCUAAACGUUCCUGAUCAUAGGAUUGCCAAUUAGGCAUUGACAAUCCGUUAAGACCAGUACAUGUUAUGUCUUCUCUUAGGGAGAGUGACUAGUCUCGAGUCAUUGGUGUGAUUGACAACAAGACAAGCAUGUUGGUGCUCAAUAGUGAAUGAGUUCACUGAACACGAUCAACAAAGAGUUCUCAUACUCAUGUCACAUGAGAACUCAUGGUUGGGAUAAUGCAAAGUAGUCCUUUGACCUGAGGCAUC